rnacentral:rRNA from 1 species
CAGUAGCCGCGGUAAUACGAGGGGUGCAAGCGUUAUUCGGAUUGAUUGGGUGUAAAGGGUGUGCAGACGGCUUAUUAAGUCACUUGUUAAAUUCUUCGGCCUAACUGAAGGUCUGCAAGUGAUACUGAUGAGCUAGAGGGUGGAAGAGAGAAGUGGGAUUCUCGGAGUAGCGGUAAAAUGCGUAGAUCUCGAGAGGAACACCAAUGGCGAAGGCAGCUUCUUGGUCCAUUCCUGACGUUCAUACACGAAAGCGUGGGGAGCAAACAGGAUUAGAUACCCCCGUAGUCCCUGUCUCUUAUAC